CGCUGCGCAGAGAGCAGCAGCAGCAGCAGCAGCAGCGCGGUCCGAGCAGCCCCGCGUCCAGAUCAGCCACUAAUUAAAGUGGAUUUAAUCUGUUUCCAAAAAAAAAAAAAGAGGAGAGCGGCUCUGCAGGGAAUAACGUGGAUGGGACCGACGGAAACAAAAAGCAGGAGUCCUGGUGCAGGAAACUGACCCUCCAGUCACAGCGUCACAGGAGCCACCUGGUCAGAUGAGCGCGAAAAUAACAUCAAGUACAGCAACGGUACCAACAUUAAAA